AUACGUAGGGGGCGAGCGUUAUCCGGAAUUACUGGGCGUAAAGAGCUCGUAGGUGGUUUGUCGCGUCGUCUGUGAAAUUCCGGGGCUUAACUCCGGGCGUGCAGGCGAUACGGGCAUAACUUGAGUACUGUAGGGGAGACUGGAAUUCCUGGUGUAGCGGUGAAAUGCGCAGAUAUCAGGAGGAACACCGGUGGCGAAGGCGGGUCUCUGGGCAGUAACUGACGCUGAGGAGCGAAAGCAUGGGUAGCGAACAGGAUUAGAUACCCUGGUAGUCCAUGCCGUAAACGGUGGGCGCUAGGUGUAGGGGUCUUCCACGACUUCUGUGCCGUAGCUAACGCAUUAAGCGCCCCGCCUGGGGAGUACGGCCGCAAGGCUAAAACUUAAAGGAAUUGACGGGG
rnacentral:rRNA from 1 species